UACGGAGGGUGCAAGCGUUGCUCGGAAUUAUUGGGCGUAAAGGGUAGGUAGGUGGUCUCAUUUGUCAGGGGUGAAAGCCUUGGGCUUAACCCAAGAAGUGCCCCUGAAACGGUGAGACUGGAGUCCUGGAGAGGGUCGUGGAAUUCCCGGUGUAGCGGUGAAAUGCGUAGAGAUCGGGAGGAACACCAGAGGCGAAGGCGGCGACCUGGACAGGUACUGACACUCAACUACGAAAGCGUGGGGAGCAAACAGG
rnacentral:rRNA from 1 species